UUUUAUUUUUUUCGCACACUGGUCUUCUAACUGCUCUCAGCCGUAAAACAAUUGUAUUUGGUGCAACAAACCAAAGGGGCAGUAUGAUCCCAAGCAAUGUCCCUGUCCUGGUUUGACCGAUAUCUCCCCCAUCAAGGGACUUCCCUUUUAGUCGAUCGUGAUCACACCCACCCUCUUUACAAAAUAAUUGAACAACCUUCUAAGUACAGAAAGCCUUCUCCUUUUUCACUCUACCUGGGGGUCCCUUAUCCCAGUUGAAUAUGUCCCGCUUCUACUAAAGCUCUUUCGUUCAUUGUCUGUAGUUUUUAAUUGUUGAGUCUACUCCGUCCAGUUCCAUCAGGCUCCUUAGUGUUAAAAAAAAAGAGGAGUAUCAAAGUUAGCAGAUCAAUGCAUCAACCCACAACCUUUCAUGGGUAAUACUGGCCUGUUUCAUGAGGUAAUGUGCUUCUUGAUCAACGAUGUUUUUAACUUUCAACUCGUGACAUGAUCACUUCAUUUGUAUCCGUCAAUAUCCAUCUAAAAUUGGAGAUUAAAGCCCGAAAUAAAUGAUUUCAGGACCAAGUAGUCCCUAUAACAUUUUCUAGCAAGAGCACAAUACACUUGGUUAUAGAGAAGCGAUGUCUCAAUAUCAUCUCAAACUAAAACAGUGUAAAGAUCAUAGUUUGAUUUACAUAAGUAUGAAUCGAUAGGUCUGUCUGUCAAUGCGGGUCGCUUAUUAAAGCAGAUUUGACAUAGUUCUGGUGCUUCUUGGAAACAAAAAAGUCCAGAAUAGGAUGCAGUUGUUUAUUCUCACAUCCUUAGUGACGUGAUGUCAUCAAUUGAACUAAUUGACUCCCUUUUCGGCAUGAAUGAUUUGAACUAUUCCAUAUCAAUAAUGGUUGUGGAAUAAAUGGACUGGGGAAGUCAGAUAAUGUUGGUGGUGAAGAAGAUCUAGCAAAUAUUUGGGCACUGGAAAUGUUGAGAAGGACUGAGGGGCAAGAAGUUCUUGUUCAUUCAGUUGUAAUCGACAGAAUUUUAUAUUCAAGUUAAACUGAUAUGCAGGUAGGAGGUGUUUCUCAGAAGGUCAAUAUUAACAUAACGUACAUGUACAGAAUCAUUGAUUUCCAAUAUCUUUUCAGCUUUUGGGGGAAUAUAAGAUCGGUGUAUUCAGCAUGUCUUAUCAUCUAAACCUCCUCUAACCAAGAAAACUAUGCUUGAUGCUUCAACAAUCUAUGGAUAUAUUGGUUCGUCUUCUUGUUUCAUGCAAGGAACAUGAAUGGAUUCUAUCUAUAGCAUGUGUUGUGUGUGUAAUUUUUGAUCUGCACAAUUUUUCCUUGAACAUGUAUUGGCACACGGAUUUGUGCAUUUCUAGUAGGGGACAUUCACUUUUCAAAGGAUUACUUUAGACCGUCCCUUUCUAAGGAGGCCAAAAAAUUUAUAUUGAGCCAUUAUCAACUUCAACAAAGAUCUGCAACUCAGAGUGCACGUUGGAGCAACCGCCUCUCUUAGUUUAUGUACUUUUUGUUCCAUCUAUUGUAUUGUGAAAUCCUUAACAAUGCAGCAAGGACAACUGUGCGCAUGUUGGAAAGUUUGAUCCGCCUAGCUUGAGCUAAGGACAAUUACUAUCUUACAUUGCAAAAAAAGUAAGGCUUAUGACCCUGUCAAAGUUUGACUGUUUCGAGAUUAUACUCUUUGUUUCCCUUAAAACGUUUUAAUGCCAAUUGUAGCACAUUUGAGACUAAUGCUGAGAAAUGAGGUUACACAUCUGGAUGCUAUCUCCGCCAUUUUUUGCAUCAAAUCCUCCAUGACUAUAUCAGCCGUCGUGGACAUCAUUAGAAAUGCCCUUCACCUCGAGUUUGGUGAAAUCACGAUGAGGAAUGAAUUCUUAUCAGUUCCUAGUCUAACUUUUAAUCAUCCGUGCACAAACUGAUAUUUGUUU